CGCGGGAUAGAGCAGUUUGGUAGCUCGUCGGGCUCAUAACCCGAAGGUCGUAGGUUCAAAUCCUACUCCCGCAACCA
rnacentral:tRNA from 1 species